GACGAACGCUGGCGGCGUGCUUAACACAUGCAAGUCGAACGAUAACGCCGGAGCUUGCUCUGGUGGAUUAGUGGCGAACGGGUGAGUAACACGUGAGUAACCUGCUCUUGACUCGGGGAUAAGCGUUGGAAACGACGUCUAAUACCGGAUACGAGCUAGGACAGCAUGGUCACUAGCUGGAAAGAACUUCGGUCAAGGAUGGACUCGCGGCCUAUCAGCUAGUUGGGGAGGUAACGGCUCACAAAGGGGACGACGGGUAGACGGCCUGAGAGGGGGACCGGCCACACGGGUACUGAGGGAGGGCGCAGUGGCCUGCGGGGGGCAGCAGUGGGGAAUAUUGCACAACGGGCGCAAGCGUGAUGCAGCAACGUUGCGUGAGGGACGACGGCUUUGGGGUUGUAAACCUCUUUUAGCAGGGAAGAAGCGAAAGUGACGGUACCUGCAGAAAAAGCACCGGCUAACUACGUGCCAGCCGCCGCCGUAAUAC
rnacentral:rRNA from 1 species